CAUGCAAGUCGAGCGGAACGAGUUAACUGAACCUUCGGGGGACGUUAACGGCGUCGAGCGGCGGACGGGUGAGUAAUGCCUAGGAAAUUGCCCUGAUGUGGGGGAUAACCAUUGGAAACGAUGGCUAAUACCGCAUGAUGCCUACGGGCCAAAGAGGGGGACCUUCGGGCCUCUCGCGUCAGGAUAUGCCUAGGUGGGAUUAGCUAGUUGGUGAGGUAAGGGCUCACCAAGGCGACGAUCCCUAGCUGGUCUGAGAGGAUGAUCAGCCACACUGGAACUGAGACACGGUCCAGACUCCUACGGGAGGCAGCAGUGGGGAAUAUUGCACAAUGGGCGCAAGCCUGAUGCAGCCAUGCCGCGUGUGUGAAGAAGGCCUUCGGGUUGUAAAGCACUUUCAGUCGUGAGGAAGGUUUAUGCGUUAAUAGCGUAUAGAUUUGACGUUAGCGACAGAAGAAGCACCGGCUAACUCCGUGCCAGCAGCCGCGGUAAUACGGAGGGUGCGAGCGUUAAUCGGAAUUACUGGGCGUAAAGCGCAUGCAGGUGGUUUGUUAAGUCAGAUGUGAAAGCCCGGGGCUCAACCUCGGAAUAGCAUUUGAAACUGGCAGACUAGAGUACUGUAGAGGGGGGUAGAAUUUCAGGUGUAGCGGUGAAAUGCGUAGAGAUCUGAAGGAAUACCGGUGGCGAAGGCGGCCCCCUGGACAGAUACUGACACUCAGAUGCGAAAGCGUGGGGAGCAAACACGAUUAGAUACCCUGGUAGUCCACGCCGUAAACGAUGUCUACUUGGGAGGUUGUGGCCUUGAGCCGUGCUUUCGGAGCUAACGCGUUAAGUAGACCGCCUGGGGGAGUACGGUCGCAAGAUUAAAACUCAAAUGAAUUGACGGGGGCCCGCACAAGCGGUGGA
rnacentral:rRNA from 1 species